rnacentral:rRNA from 1 species
GUCGAACGGUAACGCGGGGCAACCUGGCGACGAGUGGCGAACGGGUGAGUAAUAUAUCGGAACAUACCCUAGAGUGGGGGAUAACGUAGCGAAAGUUACGCUAAUACCGCAUACGAACUGAGGUUGAAAGUGGGGGAUCGCAAGACCUCAUGCUCAUGGAGUGGCCGAUAUCUGAUUAGCUAGUUGGUAGGGUAAAAGCCUACCAAGGCGACGAUCAGUAGCUGGUCUGAGAGGACGACCAGCCACACUGGAACUGAGACACGGUCCAGACUCCUACGGGAGGCAGCAGUGGGGAAUUUUGGACAAUGGGCGCAAGCCUGAUCCAGCAAUGCCGCGUGAGUGAAGAAGGCCUUCGGGUUGUAAAGCUCUUUUGUCAGGGAAGAAACGGUGGUUCCUAAUACGGACUACUAAUGACGGUACCUGAAGAAUAAGCACCGGCUAACUACGUGCCAGCAGCCGCGGUAAUACGUAGGGUGCAAGCGUUAAUCGGAAUUACUGGGCGUAAAGCGUGCGCAGGCGGUUAUAUAAGUCAGAUGUGAAAUCCCCGGGCUCAACCUGGGAACUGCAUUUGAGACUGUAUGGCUAGAGUGUGUCAGAGGGGGGUAGAAUUCCACGUGUAGCAGUGAAAUGCGUAGAUAUGUGGAGGAAUACCGAUGGCGAAGGCAGCCCCCUGGGAUAACACUGACGCUCAUGCACGAAAGCGUGGGGAGCAAACAGGAUUAGAUACCCUGGUAGUCCACGCCCUAAACGAUGUCUACUAGUUGUCGGGACUUAAUUGUCUUGGUAACGCAGCUAACGCGUGAAGUAGACCGCCUGGGGA